rnacentral:rRNA from 1 species
GACGAACGCUGGCGGCGUGCUUAACACAUGCAAGUCGAACGGAAAGGCCUGCUUUCCCUUGUGGGUUGCGGGUACUCGAGUGGCGAACGGGCGAGUAACACGUGAGUGAUCUGCCCCCAACUCGGGUAUAAGCCUGGGAAACUGGGUCUAAUUCCCGACAGGACUGCAGGGUGGUGCCUGUGGUGGCAAACGAUUUUCUAGUGGUCGGGGAUGAGCUCGCGGCCUAUCAGCUUGUUGGUGGGGUAAUGGCCUACCAAGGCGGCGACGGGUAGCCGGCCUGGGAGGGUGGACGGCCGCAUUGGGACUGAGAUACGGCCCCGACUCCUACGGGAGGCAGCAGUGGGGAGUAUUACGCGAUGGGCGGAAGCCUGAUGCAGCGACGCCGCGUGGGGGAUGCCGGCCUUCGGGUUGUAACCUCCUUUCGACCGCGAGGAAGCCACCUGGUUGGAAGGGUGGUGACGGUAGUGGUAGAAGAAGCACCGGCUAACUACGUG